CAACGAAUCUUCCCCAAUGGGCGAAAGCCUGAGGGAGCGACGCCGCGUGAAGGAUGAAGUACUUCGGUAUGUAAACUUCUGUUAGGAUUAUGAAAGCGACAGGACCUAAUACGUCUUGAAGUUGAUCUGAUCCAGAGAAAGGGACGGCUAACUCUGUGCCAGCAGCCGCGGUAAUACAGAGGUCCCAAGCGUUACUGGGAAUCACUGGGUUUAAAGGGUGCGUAGGUGGUCCGUUAAGUUCGUUGUGAAAUCCCUGGGCUCAACCCAGGAACUGC
rnacentral:rRNA from 1 species